rnacentral:rRNA from 1 species
UACGGGGGGGGCAAGCGUUGUUCGGAAUUACUGGGCGUAAAGGGCUCGUAGGCGGCCAACUAAGUCAGACGUGAAAUCCCUCGGCUUAACCGGGGAACUGCGUCUGAUACUGGAUGGCUUGAGAUUGGGAGAGGGAUGCGGAAUUCCAGGUGUAGCGGUGAAAUGCGUAGAUAUCUGGAGGAACACCGGUGGCGAAGGCGACAUCCUGGACCAACACUGACGCUGAGUGAGCGAAAGCCAGGGGAGCAAACGGG